GUCCGGCCGACGAGUCCAAAAUAGGACGAAACGCGCGUCCUGGAU
rfam:Schistosoma mattheei strain Denwood, Zambia genome assembly, scaffold: SMTD_scaffold0009978